ACGCGCUUCACAGCACUAGUGAGCACCGUUACUUGAAAUGAAGUGCGUUUUGCAAAAAAAAAAUUUCUGAGGGCGUCAUUUGCGUUUUGCGUGCUUAGAAAAUUCCCGAUCAGAUUUUUAUUGGGAUAGGUAAGCGGUGUAGAUUAUAUUUACAUAUAUCAACCAUUAGUUGAGGUCGGCGCUGUUCUUAUAACCGAAAAUCGACUUGUGAAUCACAAGAAAAAUGGAGAGACCGAUCGGAAUGCAGUUUUGGAAAGUCUGAACUCGGUUGACGUACCAUAAACCCGCUCCAGUCACCAAACAAUCAUGGCAAUAUAUGAGGAUAUCGAGUCCGAUGUGCACAAUUCAUUAUUAGACACGCAUACGUGAGCGUCCAAUAAAGGCCCCCGAAUGUGUUCGCUGCCACCAGUACUUCCAUGGACGCCUUGCCGCAAUAUGCGAAAAGCAACCAGCGCUUUAACCCAUAUAACAAAAUCGUCCGACACCCACGAGCACACAGGCCAGGGCUUCUCCUCUUCGGAGCGACAUUUAUGAAGUGCUCAAGUGUCGUCGUUGGCCGCUCACAUUAGCUGGGGCAAAAAGGAAAUGCAACACGGGCAUGACUGCUAUAAACCCUUAUGGCCUAGUCACACCAGCUUGACACUGCAGCACCGCACGAGAAGCAUCAGCACACCCCAGCGGAGUGACUUAACGCUAAAGAGGAAUUUUAAACGCCUUCAGCACCUUUUGACGGAACGACUGCUGCAGGAUGAGAUCAGCAGAAGCUUUGUCAGCGCACUGACACUGGGUUGUGGCCACUUCCAGCUGAGUCAUAUCAGUGCGGAUUCAAUGCUCAGCUCUCAGCGGCAGCGCCCCCCCAUUCAAAUCAGCGAACAAAUUCAUGUCACCGAUAACAAUUCAAUCACUUAAGAGUUCAACACAUUUUGGAAUCGCUUUACAAUGCCCCAAGAGCACCCCAUGGGUCCAACUUGCAAGUUGUACCCGCCGGACACAUUGCGGUGUCGUCCUAGCUCCUUCUGGGCACAACUCUAGCUGUUUCCUCAACAACUUGCAAAUCCAUUCAAUGGAUUCACUUCUGCUUCUGCUUCAACUUUUACUACUUCUUAGAGAUCCGCAUUCUGGUGCUUCAACAGGCGGCUCUUGGCUCCUGAUAAAUCAAUGCUGCAGUGGAUAGAACGAAGCCUCUGGCCUGGCUCUCUGCUGCUCUCGACUUCGUUUUGUCUUCGACUUGAAUGGGGUCGCAAUCGUUGCUAUUAAGUCCGCCCAGGACUUUAUUUGGCUUGCACUUGAGCAUAAGUUAUAAUGAUCUGCAUCUGUAUGGUAAAAAUCUUGACAAAUGCUUGUGGAGCUGCUAUUGGUGCACGACAUGAAGUAAAGGACUUAUGCAUAGCUUGUGUGGACUUGUAAAGUGCGUUAAGACUGUUUAGCGCGGCAUCACUAGGUGCUUUUAACCAUACAAAAAGUGUAAUAUUCAUUGUAUUAUAUUAUGGACUUUUUUCGUUCUUCCGCGGUUUGCAAGGCAUGACAAACAUUUGAGGGACAAUAUGCAGCCAUUUGGGCAUACCGAAUGCUGACU